rnacentral:rRNA from 1 species
GGCUCAGGUGGGAACACC